GGGGGGGGCAAGCGUUGUUCGGAAUUAYUGGGCGUAAAGGGCUCGUAGGCGGCCAACUAAGUCGGAUGUGAAAUCCCCAGGCUUAACCUGGGAACUGCAUCCGAUACUGGAUGGCUUGAAUCCGGGAGAGGGAUGCAGAAUUCCAGGUGUAGCGGUGAAAUGCGUAGAUAUCUGGAGGAAUACCGGUGGCGAAGGCGGCAUCCUGGACCGGCAUUGACGCUGAGUGAGCGAAAGCCAGGGGAGCAAACGGGAUUAGAUACCCCGGUAGUCCUGGCCCUAAACGAUGAAUGCUUGGUGUGGCGGGUAUCGAUCCCUGCCGUGCCGAAGCUAACGCAUUAAGCAUUCCGCCUGGGGAGUACGGUCGCAWWGSKG
rnacentral:rRNA from 1 species